CUUGAAGAAUGUUAUAUGUGAGAUUAAUUUAAAAUAUUCUUUUAAGAGGUGUUUGGUAUGACUGUGAGAUCCGAAGAAAAUAAAUAAAUCUAAAUAUUAUUUUCUUAAUAAUAAUUAUUUUAUGAUUUUUGGGUAAUAUUAUGGUACAGUAAAUGGUGUUUUAUUUAGUUUAUAAAUUUUUUUAUGGUUGAUGUAUGGUGUUUAUGGUUGCUAAUUGUUCCUGGAAUCAAGCCUCC
rnacentral:lncRNA from 1 species